rnacentral:rRNA from 1 species
CCUACGGGAGGCAGCAGUGAGGAAUAUUGGUCAAUGGACGAGAGUCUGAACCAGCCAAGUAGCGUGAAGGAUGACUGCCCUAUGGGUUGUAAACUUCUUUUAUAUGGGAAUAAAACGUUCCACGUGUGGGAUUUUGUAUGUACCAUAUGAAUAAGGAUCGGCUAACUCCGUGCCAGCAGCCGCGGUAAUACGGAGGAUCCGAGCGUUAUCCGGCUUUAUUGGGUUUAAAGGGAGCGUAGGUGGAUUGUUAAGUCAGUUGUGAAAGUUUGCGGCUCAACCGUAAAAUUGCAGUUGAAACUGGCAGUCUUGAGUACAGUAGAGGUGGGCGGAAUUCGUGGUGUAGCGGUGAAAUGCUUAGAUAUCACGAAGAACUCCGAUUGCGAAGGCAGUUCACUGGACUGCAACUGACACUGAGGCUCGAAAGUGUGGGUAUCAAACAGGAUUAGAUACCCGAGUAGUC